CUUCGUGUAGCCCAAGGGCGCUGCAAAGGUCUUCUGCCGACACUCGGCUACCGGGUGAUCGCCUCGACAUCGCGGGCAGGGGUCAGUGCACGACGCGUGACCGAAUAUUCCACAACGUAUUACCCUACAACAAUCCGAGGCAGCAGAGGUGGCAUGAUGGCAGUGCUUCCAGCAACGUACUCGGAGAGGAAGCCCACUGCGAAGCCAGUAAAGUAUUAGCACCCAUUUGAGUGAGCUGCUGACCUUGGCAAGAAAGCCGGCUGUAUCUGGUGGGCUGCCUCCGUGCGCAAUGCUACAUCUCAUCAACCAUGUUUGGUAGGAUAUUUCCACCAAAAGUAAUAUGAUUUGCCUCUUUUUACAGGCGUUGCCUG